GAUUAACGCUGGCGGCGUGCAUAACACAUGCAAGUCGAACGAUGAAACUUAACUGAUUUCUUCGGAAUGAUUUUAAGUGGAUUAGUGGCGGACGGGUGAGUAACGCGUGAGUAACCUGCCUUGGAGAAGGGGAUAGCCUUUGGAAACGAAGAAUAAUACCCUAUGAUAUGAUAAUAUCUCAUGAUAUUAUCAUCAAAGAUUUAUCGCUCUAAGAUGGACUUGCGUCUGAUUAGUUAGUUGGUGAGGUAACAGCUCACCAAGGCAGCGAUCAGUAGCCGGCUUGAGAGAGUGUACGGCCACAUUGGGACUGAGACACGGCCCAGACUCCUGCGGGAGGCAGCAGUGGGGAAUUUUGCACAAUGGGGGAAACCCUGAUGCAGCGACGCCGCGUGAUUUAGAAGGCCUUCGGGUUGUAAAAAUCUUUUGUAUGGGAAGAAAAUGACAGUACCAUACGAAUAAGGACCGGCUAAUUACGUG
rnacentral:rRNA from 1 species